rnacentral:rRNA from 1 species
AAUAUUGGACAUUGGGCGCAAGCCUGAUCCAGCCAUGCCGCGUGUUUGAAGAAGGCCUUAGGUUUGUAAAGCACUUUUGUUCGGGAAGAAAAUCCAUUGGUUAAUACCCGGUGGUCCUGACUGAACCGUAAGAAUAAGCACCGGCUAACUUCGUUCCAGCAGCCUCGGUAAUACGAAGGGUGCAAGCGUUACUCGGAAUUACUGGGCGUAAAGCGUGCGUAGGUGGUUUGUUAAGUCUGAUGUGAAAGCCCUGGGCUCAACCUGGGAAUGGCAUUGGAUACUGGCAGUCUAGAGUGCGGUAGAGGGUAGCGGAAUUCCCGGUUUAGCAGUGAAAUGCGUAGAUAUCGGGAGGAACAUCCGUGGCGAAGGCGGCUACCUGGACCAGCACUGACACUGAGGCACGAAAGCGUGGGGAGCAAACAGG